rnacentral:lncRNA from 1 species
AGAAACCUGACAUCUGGGGAGGUGUUGAGGGGGAGUUAAUAGUUCUAGGGAGAUGUUUGGGGAGCGCUGAGGAUACGAUUUUUAAAACAGCAAAUACACGGAUAAGGGGAAAUUAUGGUUUCCUACGACUCUCUCCUCCCUCCACUUUCUCGUUUCACCAGUCUGUAGCCCCCCCAAUUUAGAGGCGGGUUCAGCGAGAUUAGGCUGCAGGAAACCAAGAGGCUCCACCGCGCUGCCGCCCCGGCCUCGUGAUGUAAUUGUUAUUUCUUAUUCGGAGACUGAACCGAGGAGAGCUGCUGAAGAAGUGGCAGCCCUGCUCCUUUUGCCUUGUCUGGUUGGGUCAGAUCCUUCCCGGGGAUGAUGUAGAUUGGCUGACAGACUCCGCUGGAGACUUCGCAGUGACAAAGCAGCCGAGGAUUAACCCUGCUCCUGGGUCCUACGUCUGUCCAGGGAGCUGAGCGGGGCGCUCCUCAGGAAGUGUUUGGAUUGUGAGCUAUUUCAGAACUCUGUUCUCAGGACUCAUUAUUUUAACAUUUGGGAGAAACACAGCCAGAAGAUGCAUACUUGACUGAAGGAGGACGGGGAAUCCGAAGACUCUGGAUGACAUCAGAGCUACUUUUCAACAACCUUCUCAGUUUUCUUUCUCAGAAAGCAGAGGCUCAGAGCUUGGAGACAGACGCCAACCAUCUUCAGAGUCUUACCAUUUCUCAUCUGGAGCCCUUGUGCUGGCCUCUUCACUGACGUCCUUGCUCCAGUCUUUCACAGCCACCAGGUCUUCCUGAAACUCCAGCUUGCUUGUGUUACUUGUCUGAUCAAACAUCAUGUAGCAACUGCAAUAGCAUAACAAACAUGGAAAAGUAAUAGAUCUUCCUUAAUCCUAGGAAUAAUUAACAAUCCUUAUUGUUACUCUGGGAAACAUUAAUAUAAUUAACUUUUUUUAAAAAUUUGAUAUCUUUAAAGAAUUGACUUUUCUUUAAGUCUGUUACUUAGUAUCUUAAUUGAUAUAACUUACGUUGUUUGAGGAGAAAGAUCCCUACUAGACUAAGCCUCCAUAUCAACUCAGAUUUUAUAAAGUCGCUCUAUGUGAAGCCUCCAUAUCAACUUAGAUUUUAUAAAAUUCCUGUAUUCUAAGCCUCCAUAUCAACUCAGAAUUUUUUUUCUUUUCCAUGAAAGGUUUCAAGUGAAGUAAUCAAAAUAAUUUUAAAAGUGUUGAUCAAACUGUCAAUACACUUUUUCUCCUCUUACUUUCUCUUCUUCAG